CAAAGGUAUACUCAUUACUGUUGAUUUUGCAUGAUAACAUACAUGUUAUGUCAACUCACUUCUCCUUCCUACGGCGUCAGAGAGAGAAAAAAAAGCCUUGCAAUGCGUCAUAAUUAUUUGGACUACUUCCAUAUGACUUUAAAAAAAAAACCAACAAUAGUUUAUUUCACUGAUUGAGAUUGGACUGACGAGACAUUUCAGCAUGUGAAAUCUUAAUUUUUAGGGCAAGAAAUAUAGAAGAUAAAGAAAAAUAUAAACAAUUACAACUGUACAGUAGAAAUGAUCGGCAAAACAAGAUAAACAGAAGACAACAAGGCCUAAAUGGUGCAGAGACUUCUUGGUUUUCAUGAUCAUCAACAGAUCAAUACAGAAGAGGAAACUUAAUGUUAAUACUUUUCUACAUUGUGUGCUAAUUGGAUUAAUGUGAAAUGAAAUGUGUGCUUACCUGGAAAAAGAAAAUAGGAAAUUUCUACAAAAUGGCUGUAAACAAAAUGGAGUACAAUCAUAGAUGCACAAGAACACAAUUGUGUAAUUGCAACAACCUACACUGAAGGAUUAGGGAGAAAUGUAGAAAAAAUAGUAUUUUUUUGUCGAAAUAAACACCUGCUUUAUCCAUUCAUGUACAUAGCUCUGUCAUAUCAACUAUAUAGAGGAAGAUGUUUGAAGAACAAAUUGCAAAAAUGUAUUCUCUACCAAUUGAAGGAAGAUGUCUGGUGGAUGGAAUUAUUUAUGCACUGAACUGUUUUGUAGGGGAUUGAAUAAUUGUACGCAGCAGAAAAGUUAAAUUAACAUGAAAAGUGGUUAUUUUAUUUAAUCCGCAAAUAUGAGCACAAUAU